CAACAGCGUAGAGUUUGAUCCUGGCACGAGGACGACGCUGGCGGCGUGCCUAACACAUGCAAGUCGAACGAGAAUCAGAGGAACGGAGAUUCGUCAAAGGGAAACUGAGGACAGUGGCGGACGGGUGAGUAACGCGUGAGCAACCUGCCCUUCGGAGGGGGACAACAGUUGGAAACGACUGCUAAUACCGCAUGACAUAUUCGGGAGGCAUCUCUUGAAUAUCAAAGAUUUAUCGCCGAAGGAUGGGCUCGCGUCUGAUUAGCUGGUUGGUGGGGUAACGGCCUACCAAGGCGACGAUCAGUAGCCGGACUGAGAGGUUGAACGGCCACAUUGGGACUGAGAUACGGCCCAGACUCCUACGGGAGGCAGCAGUGGGGAAUAUUGGGCAAUGGGGGCAACCCUGACCCAGCAACGCCGCGUGAAGGAAGAAGGCUUUCGGGUUGUAAACUUCUUUGACGAGGGACGAAAAAUGACGGUACCUCGAAAACAAGCCACGGCUAACUACGUGCC
rnacentral:rRNA from 1 species